rnacentral:lncRNA from 1 species
CAAUAGAAAGCACACCUUGUCCCGUCUUUUUCUCCUUGAAUAUACAAUCAUACAACAUCUCUCUCUCUCUCUCUCUCUCUCUCUCUGAAAACACAAAUCACAAUUCACGGGUCACCGCAAUUUUACAGCUGAUUAGCCAUCAAAGAUACACGCACGUCUUCUUUCUCCUCUUUCUUCUAACCAAACCAACCAUUCAUCAACAUCAAAUUCUAAGCUUUUUAAGGUAUCAUUAUUAUUUUAUUUUAUUUAAUAUAUCAGCUUCUAAAUCUUCAAAUUAAACUCUCCUUUGUUAUUAUUAUCAUCAAUUAUUGAUUAUAGUUGUUAUUAUUAUUAUUAUUAUUAUUUACAGAUUUUGGUUUUGAAAUAUUAUUAUAUUAUAUUAUAUUGCUGCUUCUGCUGAGAUCUUAUCGGUAUGCUGUUUGGAUGUUUUGGAAAUUAGAAAACAUGAUAAUGACAGUAAAAAUAUAUGCUUUUGUCAUUUGGGUUUUCAUUUUUUUUCUCUUUAAUAAAAUAAAAGUUUACAAAUAGGUGAAUUAAAUUAAUAAGAAAUCUUACAUCCAAAAUCAUGGAUUUUGUGACUUUUGUUGAGGCUUUGUAAAUUUGAUUUUCUUCAAAAUUUGGGAUAGGGUAAUUUUUUUAUUAAUCAAAGUGACACUGAUGGUCAUUUUACAACUGUCUCCAACGAGGUUUGGAUUCGACUCUUACCACUGAGCUAGCACCUCACGUAUUUUUAUUAAUUGCUUUAGUUAAAAGAAAAUUUUGAUGAAGUGAUUUAUUUUUAUUAAAUUUACAUUCAGAUUCUCUGUUCAAUGCAAAACUAACUUUUAUGAAAGCAAGAUUGCAUUUAUGCGAGUUAACAUCAUAAGAACUAAUGAAUGCAAAAAAAAAAAAAAAACUUAAAAGCUUGUGUUUUUAGUGCCUGUUUGGGUGAAUGGUUGCCAAUUUGAUUGUUUUAAAUGUUCGUUUUAAGUUAAUUUGUUUAUGGUCGAAAACUUUUAUCGCAAAAGUAGGUUUCUGGUAAAAAUUGUGCACAACUCUUAACUGUGCAUUGAGUUUUUUUUUACUUUUAAUCGAACAUUCAUUUUGGAGCAAACUUUAUUUUACACGAAAACAAUCAAACGGCAAACAGGACUUUUUUUAACAAAAUCAUGUUUCUCUUCGACAACUAAUGGGAAUUUGAGCUAUGCAAUUGAAAAACUAGUAUUUCUGUUAGAUAUUUUUCUUGUUUGUUAUCAUGAGAAAUUUUGGAUCUGGAUUCUUUUGCUUUUAUAAUUGGAUUCUGGUGGAACUAAAAUAAAAUGUCAAUAUUGGUUGUUUAAUGUUUGACAUGUGUUUGUUUGAAGUUGUUUGUCUGCUUAAAGGUUUAUCUUUUUGUCCCUUACAUCCACAAAGUAUAGUGUGCUUGACAUGCCUUUUCUGGUAUUUUAUAUUUUGAUAAUCAUAUUGCUGUCUUGAAAUAGUGCUAUUCUUGAUGUUUAUUUAGUCUCGUAUCGUAUGUCGGAGGCCUAAUAAAUGUUAUGCCGAAACAUGUGAAAACUUGUUGGGAUAUAAAUAGUUGUUAUUUGUCCCUGUGAGCAUAGUUCAGUUGGUACUUGGUAGUGACAUUGCAUAAUAUGCAAAGCUCGGGGUUCGAACCCUGGUAGACACACUUAUUCACCUUAAAAAGGUGAAAUAUGUGUAAAAAAUAGCUGUUAUUACCUUUGACCCAGUUGAUUUGAAUGAUAAAUGUUGCUCCAAGUUGCUAUAUGUAUUUCCAUGACUUUGCUUUAGUUUUGAUAGCAAGAAAUUUGUCCAUCUGCUACUGUGGAGUAGCAGACUUACCUAUCAAGAAAAGAUGAAUUCUGAAAGUUGAAUGCAUUUGCUCCUUAGAUAAUGUGCCUAAUUGAAAAAAUUAUAGUUCCAAAAUUCCUUCUAUGGUGAGUGGUGAGUGUUGGGUGUGAGAGCAGCUUGCAACUGACAAACUUUGUUGAUUGCGAUUUUAUCUAUUGUAUUCAGCAAUGAAAAUACCAAACUGAAGAGUAUAGAAUGACUCCAUUGCCCAUUAAGCCCUAUGGAUGGUGAAGGACAUGCAAAAUCUAAUGAAAUGACAUAUAAUUCACUAUUAGGAUAAGUGAGAGCAUUGUAAUCGGUGAAACUCGUUUCCCCUAUUCUUGUUUCUUCAUGUUAGACAAGCCUUCUGAACUUUAAUGUUAGCUUGCUGUUUUUUCAUGAUGUCUAGAUGUGUAUAGAAGAUUUUUGUUGUACAUGAGCAAUGGAGACAGUAGGCAGUAAGGCUGUUGACAAUUUCAAAGCAUUCCAAGAAGUAUGGACGAUAAAUGAAAUAUUGCAUGAUAAUAGUGCAAGCAGUCGCAGAAAUUGACUAUAUAUUUCAGGGCAAUGGCAAGUUGUUGAUGGACUCAGUAUUUCAGAGGAAUGGCAAGUUGUGGAUGGGUAACUUAAUAACAGGAAAUCAUUAACAGUUAGAAGGCGUGUUCAAUUUUGAGAUUCUGAAACAAUGUUCAGCUUUAAAAGGUAUUAGAACACAUCUUUUCCUUCUGUUUUGAUGAAAUCAAAGUUUGGUAUGUGACUCAGAAUAACACUUCUAAAGUGAAUGUGUCUCUAAAAUGAGCAAGUAAGGGGAAGAUAUACUCAUACUUGUUUAUAUUAGAGACAAAUUUACUUCAGCAAUGUUUUUCCUGUAAAUAUAAGCUACAAAGAUAAGAUUUUCUUUAUUUUUCAAUCACAAAAACAUAUCCAUACUCCAUGAGAAGGUAUGUUAGUGUUAGCUAUAGCCAACAUCAUAGAAACAGCCAGAGCGAAAGCAUGUGAUUCGUUUUUGUAUUUCAUGCUUUUCCCUCGUCUCCGAGCUAACUCAUGUUCAAACCUUUGAAAUGAGCACAUGGUGGCACAACAUAGAUCAUAUCCUCUUAUUAAUUUUUUUCAAAUUUUUGUUUUCCCACAGAAAAUGGUCAUAAGAUUUAUUUCUCCAACUUGUAAGUUGUGCCACCAUUUUGCAUCUGUUUACCUUUUCAAGGUUGUCUUCAGGUCAUUUUCAACCAUUUUUUGCACACUUCCACACAUACACUUUGAUUAAUUUUAAAUCUAAACUAUUCAGGCAAUAAUCUACACAUGCUUAACCACCUAACUAUUGGUUAAUGGCUAUUGCUGCCAAAAUCCCUUUUAGUUUUGUGGUUAACUAUAAGUAGAUCAUUGAUUAAGUAAGCUUGAUAGUUGGUAUCAGUAGCAUUAUUCUCCAGCAAGAAAUCAUCAAUGCUCACAAGUAUGUGAUAGCCAUGAAUUGCAUAAGUGCAUUUUUUUUUUGCUUUAAUAAUUUAGAGUAUAUAAAAGUUGACAUAUUAUGCAUUUGCCAUGCAAAUAUGCACAGAAAGCCAAUUCAAUAAAGAGAGAUACCUCUGUCAAAAAUAUAAAAGUAAAGACAGAUACCAUAAACAAUGUUAUAUACUACUGUAUGAAAUGUUAGUUUUCAUGCACUUGAAAAAAAGAAUUUGUAAGUGUGAUAUUGAGUUUUCUUUCAUGUUUCAUGUGUAAGUUACUUCUCUUUCUUCCAUGGUUUCAAAACAGCAAGUACUAUAAAGAUGGCAAUGAGCAGGAUCAAUAUAACAGCAAUCAUCAUGCAUUUCCUUGAUUUCUUUUGCAAACUCUUUGCAGUAUGGAGAGCGUCGUUACCCGAUUUCACAUGAUCAGUUGCGUUUGCCACCUGUUUGUAUCAGAACGCCAUUUUGACAACACAAAAAAUCAUUAGCAGUAUGAAAUAACAAAGGAAAAUCGUAUGAUAAUAAUUUGAUUUCAAAAGAAACUGAAUCAAACAGUCUUAGGAUUAAGAUAACUUCUACAAAACAAAGUGAUUAUUUCCUUCCAAAAUAAUGUUCUAAGCAAGUAAAAGAAGCAUAGAUAGAUCAACACUGAUAGUGCAACCACUUCUAAGCAAAUUAUGCGAAUAAUGUAUGUAACCUUUAAGAACUUCAAUGGUUCUAAUAUUGUGUUACUUAAAAGUCGACUUAGUUUCUGUUUUUCCUUUCAACAAAACUAACAGAAACCUGAAUAGAUAGACAAAAAUAUUUGUGUAUCAAACGGUCAAUGUUCGUAAUUGUGAUCAAA